CAAGGUUUCUGUAGGUGAACCUGCGGAAGGAUCAUU
rnacentral:rRNA from 1 species